rnacentral:rRNA from 1 species
CAGUAGCCGCGGUAAUACGGAGGGUGCAAGCGUUAAUCGGAAUUACUGGGCGUAAAGCGUGCGUAGGCGGUUCGUUAAGUCUGUUGUGAAAGCCCCGGGCUCGACCUGGGAAUGGCAAUGGAUACUGGCGAGCUAGAGUGUGUCAGAGGAUGGUGGAAUUCCCGGUGUAGCGGUGAAAUGCGUAGAGAUCGGGAGGAACAUCAGUGGCGAAGGCGGCCAUCUGGGACAACACUGACGCUGAGGCACGAAAGCGUGGGUAGCAAACAGGAUUAGAUACCCGAGUAGUCCCUGUCUCUUAUAC